CAGUAGCCGCGGGAAUACGGAGGGUGCAAGCGUUAAUCGGAAUUACUGGGCGUAAAGCGCACGCAGGCGGUCUGACAAGUCAGAUGUGAAAUCCCCGGGCUUAACCUGGGAACUGCAUUUGAAACUGUCAGGCUGGAGUCUUGUAGAGGGGGGUGGAAUUCCAGGUGUAACGGUGAAAUGCGUAGAGAUCUGGAGGAAUACCGGUGGCGAAGGCGGCCCCCUGGACAAAGACUGACGCUCAGGUGCGAAAGCGUGGGGAGCAAACAGGAUUAGAUACCCGAGUAGUCCCUGUCUCUUAUAC
rnacentral:rRNA from 1 species